rnacentral:rRNA from 1 species
GUGGGAUGACGUCAAGUCAUCAUGGCCCUUAUGUCCAGGGCGACACACGUGCUACAAUGGCCGGCACAGCGGGAAGCGAGGGGGCGACCUUGAGCGGAUCCCUCAAAGCCGGUCUCAGUUCGGAUUGCAGUCUGCAACUCGACUGCAUGAAGUUGGAAUCGCUAGUAAUCGUGGAUCAGCCAAGCCGCGGUGAAUACGUUCCCGGGCCUU